CCUACGGGAGACAGCAGUGGGGAAUAUUGCACAAUGGGGGAAACCCUGAUGCAGCGACGCCGCGUGAGUGAAGAAGUAUUUCGGUAUGUAAAGCUCUAUCAGCAGGGAAGAAAAUGACGGUACCUGAUUAAGAAGCCCCGGCUAACUACGUGCCAGCAGCCGCGGUAAUACGUGGGGGCAAGCGUUAUCCGGAUUUACUGGGUGUAAGGGGAGCGUAGACGGCAGCGCAAGUCUGAAGUGAAAUGCCGGGGCUUAACCCCGGAACUGCUUUGGAAACUGUGCAGCUAGAGUGCAGGAGAGGGAAGUGGAAUUCCUAGUGUAGCGGUGAAAUGCGUAGAGAUUAGGAGGAACAGCAGUGGCGAAGGCGGCUUACUGGACUGUAACUGACGUUGAGGCUCGAAAGCGUGGGGAGCAAACAGGAUUAGAUACCCCAGUAGUC
rnacentral:rRNA from 1 species